AAUAAUAAUAUUUAACUCCUCCCUAUGAAAGUAUUGAGUAUGUAAUCAAUAAUAAUAUUUAAUGGUGCGUCGCAAUCAAUAGUCAUCAAUAUAAGAUGUUCCUCUCAACCAAUAGUAAUACUUGGCUCCUCCCAGUGGGCGUGGUAGCCAGGUAUCGUUCUCUUUACAAUCGAUGACUGUUACAACUAGCUUGUGUUUAAAAGGACAGCAGAACACUCACUAGUAGUGUUUAACCUUCAAGUUGCAAUAUGUAUACUUAUUUAAGUCUGGUGUAUCUUGCGGUGGCUCUUACAUUUUCAAGUUGUACGGCACACAGAGAAAGAUGGUGGAACUUGCCGAGACCUGAAAUUAACCUGAGAAGUUUACACUGUGAUAAAGUUGAACAAUUUGAUCUCUGUCGCUGUUGUCCAGUAGAUCCAUGCGAUGGUGUAGAAUGUUUGAACGGGGGGAACUGUGUAGGUGAAGGUGUUUGUAAUUGUACCUUUGGUUUCGGUGGAGCUACUUGUAAAAUGAGAGUAUGUCACAUGACCGAGUGUAGAGAAAGAGGUGGAAUUUGUAUUGAUAUAGCAUGUAUGACCAAUGCCACAAAUUGUGGAGGCAAACGAUGUAAUGAAAUUAACGGCGAAGUUUGUAUUGAUGAUACGUGUGUAGUCAAAGCUGACAAUUGUGGUUCAAUAAAUCCAGGCGUGUUUAACUCAUGUACAGCUAUUGGUUCACCAUGUGGGGAAGGUACAUUCUGUAGUGCUACUUAUAAAGGUACUAAAUGUGUAAAUGACACAUGCAGGAUUGUAGAUAAAUGUGAUGAGCAGAUUGAUGAUACAGCUUGUACCGUCAUCAACAUCAAUAGUGGCACUUGUUCAGGUGGUGUUUGUCUAGAAUCAUGUGAUGAAAACAAGGUUUGUGAAGAUGGUUUGCCAUGUAUUGAUGGAUUCUGUGCAGAACCUAAAUGUGGAGAAUCAUAUUGUGAGCCGUGAUUGAUCAACCACUGGUAUAUAAGGGUCAAUAAACUAUAUUGUAAUAUUUAAAACCUAUUAUAAGAUUUAACAUAAUAAACUAUAUUGUAAUAUUUAAAACCUGUUAUAAGAUUUAACAUAAUAAACUAUAUUGUUAUAUUUAACUACUUCUUUAAAAUAAUUAAAUGCUAUUUUGUUCUUUCUUUAUAAAUUAUAUUCAUCUAAACCAAGAAAUACAAUAAAUUCAUCUGUACUUCUUCAUAAAAACCCAGAUAAACCAACAAGUACAAGAUAUUAAAAUGU